rnacentral:rRNA from 1 species
GCUAGUGGCAAACGGGUGAGUAACGCGUGGGAACCUACCUUUUAGUACGGAAUAGCCUCGGGAAACUGGGUUUAAUACCGUAUGCGCUCUACGGAGGAAAGAUUUAUCGCUAAAAGAUGGGCCCGCGUUAGAUUAGUUUGUUGGUGAGGUAAUGGCUCACCAAGACUGCGAUCUAUAGCUGGUUUGAGAGGAUGAUCAGCCACACUGGGACUGAGACACGGCCCAGACUCC